rnacentral:tRNA from 3 species
GGGCCUUUAGCUCAGUCGGUAGAGCAGUUGCCUUUUAAGCAAUUGGUCGCGGGUUCAAGUCCCGCAGGGCCCACCA